rnacentral:tRNA from 1 species
CAGAGAGUAGUUUAAUUAAAAUAUUAGUUUUGGGAAUUAGUGAUAAAGUGUUACUUUCUCUUUGA